rnacentral:rRNA from 1 species
GAUGAACGCUGGCUACAGGCUUAACACAUGCAAGUCGAGGGGAAACGACGGGGAAGCUUGCUUCCUUGGGCGUCGACCGGCGCACGGGUGAGUAACGCGUAUCCAACCUGCCUCUGACUGAGGGAUAACCCGUCGAAAGUCGGCCUAAUACCUCAUGGCAUCGUCUGCGGGCAUCCAACGACGAUUAAAGAUUUCAUCGGUCAGGGAUGGGGAUGCGUCUGAUUAGCUUGUUGGCGGGGUAACGGCCCACCAAGGCGACGAUCAGUAGGGGUUCUGAGAGGAAGGUCCCCCACAUUGGAACUGAGACACGGUCCAAACUCCUACGGGAGGCAGCAGUGAGGAAUAUUGGUCAAUGGGCGGGAGCCUGAACCAGCCAAGUAGCGUGCAGGAAGACGGCCCUAUGGGUUGUAAACUGCUUUUAUGCGGGGAUAAAGUGAGGGACGUGUCCUUCAUUGCAGGUACCGCAUGAAUAAGGACCGGCUAAUUCCGUGCCAGCAGCCGCGGUAAUACGGAAGGUCCUGGCGUUAUCCGGAUUUAUUGGGUUUAAAGGGAGCGUAGGCCGUGGAUUAAGCGUGUCGUGAAAUGCAGGUGCUCAACGUCUGCACUGCAGCGCGAACUGGUUCACUUGAGUGUGCGCAACGCAGGCGGAAUUCGUCGUGUAGCGGUGAAAUGCUUAGAUAUGACGAAGAACUCCGAUUGCGAAGGCAGCUUGCGGGAGCACAACUGACGCUGAAGCUCGAAAGUGCGGGUAUCGAACAGG